rnacentral:rRNA from 1 species
GACGAACGCUGGCGGCGUGCUUAACACAUGCAAGUCGAACGGAGUGGCGAACGGGUGAGUAACACGUGGGUGACCUGCCCUGCACUUCGGGAUAAGCCUGGGAAACUGGGUCUAAUACCGGAUAGUGUGGGAUGGGCCCGCGGCCAAUGAGCUUGUUGGUGGGUGAAUGGCCGACCAAGGCGGCGACGGGUCGCCGGCCUGAGAGGGUGGACAGCCACAUUGGGACUGAGGCACGGAGCAGACGCGUACGGGGGGCAGCAGGGGGGAGUAUUGCGCAAUGGGCGGGAGCCUGAGGCGACGACGCCGCGUGGGUAAUGACGGCCUUCGGGGUGUAAACUCCUUUCACCAUCUACGCGGUAGAUGGAGAAGAAGCACCGGCUAACUACGUGCCAGCAGCCGCGGUAAUAC